CUUGUUUUUUUCUGGGAAAGACUGUCUCCACUCGGAGAUUUAAAAAUAACUUUCUGUGCUUUCUUUUAGUACUUUAAUUGGAAAAACCUGGAUUUUAGUUUCAUUUCUAUCGUCUAUUGGUUUUGUGACAUUGGGCAAGUUGAGUAAUCUGUCAGAGCCUCAGUUUCCUCAACUGGAAGGAUUAGAGCAGAUGAUUUGUACCAUUGUAAGGAACUUUCAAUUAUAAAAUGUCUUGUUUGCUUUUCAGUGAAAUUUGCUUUUGUUUUGUGCGGGGACCUGAAGUUGGGGGCAGGGUCAGGGAAAGAGGUAAAAAGACAUGGAAGGAAGACAGACACAUGCACAGAGGGUGGAGACAGAAACCAGGACUGUGAACAAAAUCCAAAACUGCCCCAGAGAAGAUGGAGGGAAAACAAAGGAAAACAGACUCAAGGAAGGUAGAUACUGAGACCCCAAGUGGGAUGCAUUUUUCAUAUCAUAGGAGGUAAAACACAUGUUGGGUCCCUUUGUUCAUUCCCUCUCCCUCUUUUCCUCCCUCUCCCUCCUCCCUCUGUUUUCCUUCCUUCUUAGAAUAAAAAAGUUAAGUGUAAUACAGAGGUUCUGAAUUAGCACAAAUCGUCAAGUGCAAAAGUUAAAGCUUCAGAGUCUUCCUCAGUGUGUAUGUACAUAGUACUUAAAGCCAAGUGCUUUGAACUCCUCAGACACAGUGUGUUGGAAUUGUUACUACAAUAUUGAUUUAUCUAUCGCCUGGCAGUCCCUUUCCAGGUCUAAAAUUCUGUGUUUGAAUGUAGUGUACAUGUUUUAGUAUUUCUGUAAGAACUGUAUCUUCUGCAUUUCCUGCUUUUGGGAUAUUAAAUCUGUAAAGUUAAUAAUGGCUUCCUACGUGUUUUGUAUUUUCACAUCUAAGACUGAAGUUCUCCCCAUAGAUUAUGCCUUUAAGAAGCCUAGCUUCAGUCUUUGGACACCUGUCUUCCGUGAAAAUUUGGGCUGAGAUAUUCCACUGCUUCCCUGUUAGUCUCCCCGUCUGCUAAGCAUGGGUAAUAGUAUUCAGCAAUGUGUAGUUAACGAAAAUUCUUACGUGACCAGACCCUCUAAAGUCUAAUGUUCAGUUAUUUCCAUUGCUUAUUAAAAAAUUUUCUUUAAGUAUUUAUUUAUUUUUGAAACAGAGAGAGAGCACAAGUGGGGGUGGGGCAGAGAGAGAGGGAGACACAGAAUCCGAAGCAGGCUCCAGGCUCUGAACUGUCAGCACAGAUCCCGACGUGGGGCUCGAACCUGCGAACCGUGAGAUCAUGACCUGAGCCAAAGUCAGAUGCUCAACCGACUGAGCCACCCAGGUACCCCAUCCAUUGCUUAUUUUUUAAAAGUCAAUUUAUAUAUUGUCCUUAGACCCCAAUUUAUGAUUCUUUCUUGUUGCCUGGUUUGGGGGGAAAAAAAUCCUUAAAGAAAAUUGUAUGCUUACCACCUUGGCGAUAUGUGAAUUGAAUACACUCUGACCUUUUAGCUGGUGGUAAUUUCCUCUCACAAACUCUUUGUUGCCUUUUUAACCUCACGGACCCCCUGCCCCUCCGAAUGGGCCUGGGACAUUAUUAUCUGCUGGCUCCCCCAAGUUGCCCUUCAAAACAGACGGCCGGACUUCUUGAAAUCCUUGCUGGUUAUCAUGGCAGCGGCUGCCGCCGUGGGCUGAUUGGAAAGGAAGUCAUUGCGGUUGUCAGAAACACGGUCUGGAGGAGACGGGGCUGAAAGUGCAAGUACGUGGCUUUGGCUUAAUGGCUCCAAGACCGGCUGUUGUGAGCAGUUGCCGGGGCCUCGGAUGUCCUCUUGUCCUAAGACUUGAUAAAAACUUUCUCCUCCACUUCUGGAGGAUGGCUUCCUUUGGAGAGACUCAACCUUUGCUGCUUCCUCAUCGUGCGCAUUUUAGAUGCAGUCCCUCGUCUCAUCCCUGCCCUCCUUUUACCUAAAGUAAAACCUAACCGAGAGGUGGUGUUUGAGGUUUCACUCUGCGUGCGGCAGUGUGGGCAGGAAGAGGAAGGUCCAGGGGGUGACCUGCGAAGGCCUUUGAUAUGGUUGGGUCGAUGGUGUAUAAACUGAGUUAAGUAACAGUCUAAGUUGAUGAGGUAAAACAUAGUGAAGGGUCAUAAACCUUGCUAAUUCGCUGGUGAGGAAGGUCGUAUUUAGUACAGGAGUGCCCACAGUUGUUUUGCUGGGUUUGCUGGGCACUUGGAAAGGUGAGACAUAAAAGGCGAAAAAAUAAAAGGGAUCCAGAAUGUAAGCUCUGGCGAUUGAAAACGUUUUUAUGUGUGACUUUUACAAGUUGUCAUUAAUUAUUGUAAUCAUAAGCCUGGGAGGCUAAGGGAAACUUUCCUCCGGCCGUGGAAGCUGACUCAGACUUUCCCCUGGGCUCCCUCCCCAUCUCAGGAUCUCCUGCCUCUGGCUUUGGAAAUUAGUCGCAGGAGGUCCUGUGUGUGAUGUAAUAUAGCAAAUACUUAAAUUCCGCGUCAGAAAUAACUAAAGUUCUGCAUUGGAAAACAGCACUGGAGAGAAGGGAGUGAACGGAGAGAUGUUGAAUCUUGGUCUCUCGUGGAACAGCGUCACUGAUGGCAGGUGUCGCACUGUGCGGAGUCCUCGUGUAGGAAGGUUACCUGCUGUCUCGCUGCUCAUUUUAGGACACUCGGCUGGACCGGGCGUCAGCCACCUUUUUCCUUCAGGACCUCAAGGCUGAUGUGUGAAGACGGACACAGUUUCGGCCAGUAGGAAAGUGGAGUAGGAAUCUGCAGGCUGGUCGCCUUCUGGUCAUGCCGAGAAACACCCUUCUGGCCUGUCUUCCUGUUUCCUUAAGAGACAGUGUUACAGCGUCAUCGUCGUCGUCGUCAUCAUCAUCAUCAUCAUCAUGCGUGGAAUGGGAGUGGAGCUCCUCUUGCCCUGGGACUAUGUCUGUGCUAAAUUUCAGCAGCCUCUUGUUUCCUGGUGAUUUUUUUUUUUUUUUUUGAAGAGUUCUGUUCAAGUCAGAGGUGUCUGCCUUUCCAGCUACUCUUUAAUAGUUUCUUCCUUACCUGGGGGGGGGGAGGGUUCCCGUUAGCCCACGCCACGGGAGACACACGGUGGGAGAGGUAUCCCACCCCGGGUAAUCGUCUCUGGGGGGCUUCAGUGGUGAGCCCGUGGUUGCUGCCUUCACUGGGAGAAGAACUUUUAAGUAAGAAGGGAGAAGAAACUUCUUGUUCGGGCGGCAAAAUGAAAACCAGCUUUUCUGAGGCCACAUUGGGAUCGUGUGUAAUCAACUAUGAAUUCAUCCUCUUUUUCCUCCCCUCCCCGCCCCCCUGUUUGCAGUUGAUCUCACGACAGCUGUUUCCAGCUGUCCUCUGGAUUUUGCCCAGGCCCCUUGGGAUGGAUGGCUGCAUGACUCACACAACUGGCUUGUUUCCACAGCGGUUCAAAUCUAGCUUCUCGAGAAGUAGGGGCGAGAGGAGAGAGGGGGACUCUGGUGGCCCCGGAGUAGAUGUUCCUGUGGAGAUUACGGUCGGCUGACCGCUCUGGUUUCGAUUGGUCCCCCUUCACGGCAGCGAGCUGAGAAGAGGACAUUGCUGGGGGAGGGGAGGCCAGUGUGUUAGCUGGAGAAGUGGUUUUGGAGAAAGCCAGAUGUUCUUGUUUUGUUUUGAUUUUUUUCCUUUUUUUUUAAUUAAUUUUUUUUUUUUUUAAUUUACAUCCAAAUUAGUUAGCAUCUAGUGCAACAGUGAUUUCAGGAGUCGAUUCCUUAGUGCCCCUUCCCCAUUAGCCCCUCCCCCCUCCCAGCACCCCUGCGGUAACCCUGUGUUUGUUCUCCGUAUUUAAGAGUCUCUUCUGUGUUGUCCCCCUCCCUGUUUUUAUAUUAUUUUUGUUUCCCUUCCCUUACGUUCAUCUGUUUUGUCUCUUAAAGUCCUCAUAGGAGUGAAGUCAUACGGUAUUUGUCUUUCUCUGACUGACUAAUUUCACUUAGUAUAAUACCCUCCAGUCCCAUCCACGUAGUUGCAAAUGGCAAGAUUUCAUUCUUUCGGAUUGCCGAGUAAUACCCCAUUGUCUCUAUAUACCACAUCUUCUUUAUCCAUUCAUCCAUCCAUGGACGUUUGAAGCCAAAUGUUCUUUUACUUUUUUUUCUCUUUCCCCCUCCAGAUCUGCUUCAGGGCAAACUGCAACUUUCCUUUUCAGUGGGACGUAGGGUUGUGUGUGAGAUGGGUGGCUGAGUGAGAGCUGAGGGAAGUGUCGGUUAAAAAUGCAGGUGAUGCUAGGGGCGCCUGGGUGGCUCAGUCGGUUAAGCGUCUUGGGUCAUGAUCUCACGGUUUGUGAGUUCGAGCCCCUCGUUGGGCUCUGUGCUGACAGCUCAGAGCCUGGAGCCUGUUCGGAUUCUGGGUCUUCAUCUGUCUCUGCCCCCCCUGCUCGCUCGUGUGUGCUUGCUCUCUCUUUCUCUCUCUCUCAAAAAUAAAUAAACAUUAAAAAAAAUUAAAAAAAAAUUCAGGUGAUGCUCUCCGUACUCCAGCUGAUUCUUGGUAGGAGGGUGUGUUCCUUUCUCUUCAAAGCGGUCCCUCCCUUUCCCAACAGUAAGCACUGCCCUUGCCCCCCCACCUUCCUUCCAUGAAGGCCACUCCUUCCCAGCGUGGGAACCUAUACAGUGAUACAGCUUGGUAAAGAAAAUUUUAAAAAUUCUUUAGGCAUUAGAAAAAUUCUUCACUUUGAUCUCUUUGAGCUCUACACUCACAUUUCUUAAAGGGUAGCAAGCUGCAGAAAAAAAUUCUCUAGACCUGCUCUGAUACAGGAGCCAUUAGCCACUUGUGGCUGUCGUGGUCUUGAAAUAUGGCUCGUCCAAACUGAGAUGCUCUGUGAGUGUAAAACACGCACUAGAUUUUAUUUGCUUAUUGUUUAUGUAUUUGUGUAUUUAUUUAUUAAAGUUUAUUUAUUUAUUUUGAGAGAGACAGAAGCAUUGCAAGCGGGGAAGGGGCAGAGAGAGAGAGGGAGAGAGAGAAUCCCAAGCAGGCACCUGAUGUGAAACUCGAACUCACGAAACUGUGAGAUCAUGCCUGAACCGAAGGCAAGAGUCGGACGCUUAACCAACAGAGCUGCCCAGGCACCCCCUCAAAUACCCACUAGAUUUUAAAGACCAGUGCAAAAAAUUUUCAUUGAAAAUUUACAAAUCAUUGACUAUUGUUGAAAUAUUGACAUGUUGAAACGCUAAUAUUUUGGAUGUGUUGGAUUCCCUAAAUUAUAUUAAAAUUUACCUUACCUGGUUUCUUUUUUAAAUGCUGUUAACUAGAAAAUUUUAAAUUAAGUAAAUGGCCCAUAUUUCUUGCUGUCAUUAUAUUUCUGCUCUAAACAGAAGAAGUUACUGAACAACUGGUGUGCUCCUCUCUGGUAGUGUCCGUUUUCCAGAAGCCAAGUGAUAGUUUGGGACUCACAAGCCGGUGUGCUACAACAUGCCUGCUGUAAUAGUUGUCUUUUGCCCCAGAACAUAUUACCCCUACACUUACUGACUUGAAACAACACACCUUUAUUAUGUCAUAGUUUCUGUGGGUCGUAAAUCUGAGAGCAACUUAGCUGUGCGGUUCAGGCUUAGGAUCCCUCAUGAAGUUUCAGUCAGGCAGUUGCUGGUGUCGCACUCAUCUGAAGUCUGAACUGGGGCCGGAGGAUUCCAAGAUGGUUCGUUUCACGGCUCUUGGAAUGUUGUCAGUUCCCCGCUGGCUUUAGUUCCUUCCAACACGGACUUCUUAGGCUUCUUGAGUGUCUUCCCUACCUUAUGUUGACUUCCCCCUAGAGUGAGUGAUCAAGUGAGAGAUCGAGUAAGGGAGAGAGCAGGUGAAGGGGGGAGUUGCAGUGCUUUUAAUGACCUAGUGCCUGCAGUAUACGUUAUCAUUUCUGCUUUAUUUUAUUUGUUAGAAGCAAGUGUCUGAGUCUGAUUCCUUCUCUCAAGGAGAGGAAAAUUAGGCUCCAGUUUUUUAAUUAGUUUUACUUUUUUUUUUUUUUUUUUAGGCUUCACUUCUUGAAGGGAGUACUAUAUAGGAAUUUGUGGACACAUUUAGAAACCGCUACACUUUCCUGUUUGUCUGCUGUUUUCCCCUGUUAGUGUACCUGGAUUUCACUGACCGCCUCUGAAAAUGGUCAGAGUUCAGUGGCUGAAGUCCAUUUUACCCUCACCUGCUACCUCAGCAGUGUUGCUUGGAACAGUUUCACCCAUUUUGAGACUGCCAACUCUGACCUGUAAUCAAAAUUGCCUUUUUUUGGUCGGGCGACGGGGAGGCCACGAUGAAUUUCAGCUUUGCGUGAGCCUUAAAUACUGGUGUGUGCCUCAGUUGAUUUUGAGUAGCAGAAUAAGGCUGGAUAUUCCAUGGUAAAUGUGUUGUUAUUAUGUGGAUAUUAUAUUUCUCUUAAUUAAGAUUCGGAGCACUCAGGAACCAUUCUGUAUCUCAUUCUGCCUCUGGGAGGUUUGAAAGUAAAGCAGGGCCUCCUUCUGUUUUCUGCUCCAAGUAGGGGCAUGGAGGUGAAUUCACUGGUGCAGGAGGCGGAGUGAAGGUGUUGUGAGGGAUGGAGAGGUAUGUCUGGCAGAGACAUAAAUGGUACGCUCUGGUAGCUUAAACCGGAACGUGGGAGCAAAGGUACUGUUAAAUAAGAGUGUGUAAAUAACACGCUGCCGAGUUUCCCAAGAUGGAUUCAUCUACGCCUCCCCUCCCUAUAGCUGUUUUAGUUUUGGCUCAGCCUCACACUUCCGGAGUGUAGACUGACACAGGAGGCAAGACCUACAGGGUAAGUGGCCCAGUGGACGUAAUGAGGGUCAGUUUUUGUCUGGCCUCCAUCAAAAUGGGGCUUUAGUGCAAGGAAACGAGGUAUGUAUGGGAAAGUGGUUGGGUCAGAAUAGGGCUCAAGAUUCAGGACAGCAGGGAUUCAUUUAAAACCACUUGACUUCAGUUUUUUUCUGAUGGCUUGGUGUGAUUUACUCAGGUACUUCCUAGGGAAUCGAGCGUGAUCUUUUCCAUUUGAGAAGUCUGAAGGCGUAGAUGAAUGGGUUGUAUUAGAAAGUUUGUUGCCUUGGACAGAAAAUCAAAAAUCUAUGGAGUCUGGCUGUCUUCUCAAUCCUUGUUAUCAUUAUCAUAAUCUUGGUACUUAAGUUUAAUUUUGAAUAGUUGCUUUCCUUUGUGUGUGUGUGUGUGGGGGGGGCGGUUUAUCUCUUGUCUCUGUAACCAGACUUCGUUUUCUUCGCUUUCAUGCUUUUUAUUUCUUUGUGUUCUAAUAACAACUUCUGCGUUGUAUAUUCAAGAGGAUAUGAACUGAGGCAUGGUGGCGGGACCCACUGGGGCUGGGAGAGGCGUAGAGCGCAGUGGUUGAGAGUUCGGGGUUUAGAGUCCUACCGGCUCUGCUGCUUAGUACAUUGAUAACCUCGUACAACUUUUCUUAAUUUCUCUGAGGCUAAGUUCCUUCAUCUGUAAAAUGUUAAUGAUAGUUUUUGCCUCAUAGACUUGUGAAAACUAAUGAGAUAUUACAAGUAAGGCACUUAGCACAGGAGCAGCUACAUAAGUUAGAUUUGUAAAAGUGUAAUUGUCUAGCUUAUUAAUGCUUUUUAUUAGAGGCAUCCAAGUUCUUGAAUCUUGAGCCUCUCAUUACUUAUUUGACGUUAUUUAUUGGUUCAUCAGUCACUGAUACCAGAAGCCUAAACCGGGUGUGUGUUCUGGUCAGCGUGAAUGGGUCCACAUCCUAACUGACUCUGCUCAGAGAGUGUUCUAGUCUGCCGGGCAAAAAUAGGUGUUCUGGGCCAUGGCUUUUUCCUUGCAGGGCCCAAGGGCGCCCCCUCUCUCGAGAGACCAGAGGCUGCCGUUGUUUUCUGUACGGUAGAGCCUGACUUGGCCUGCAGUUAAGGCUCUCCAGAAGGUCACUUAAACCCGGCUGAUGUGAACUCCUCGCAAAAGGCCCAAGUCCUUCUGCCGCCGUCCAGUUUUCUAUUAAGAAACUACUGGGACUUUUUUUUUUUUUUUCUUCUAAAGAAACUGCAGCAGCCAAACCAAUCAUUCCUUUCAACUCUGCACUCCUUGGUCAGCAUCCAGGAUGUAAGCAGCUCUGGCCAUCUGUAUAUUCCUGUGACCUCGGGCCUGACUGAUUUUUCUCUCCUGACCUGACCUUCAUAGCUCCUCCCCUCAUAGACUGUCCCGUUUUUCCUCUUGCAUUCGUAAACAGUCCUCCCCAUCCUCAGCCUUUUCACGGACUCCUAUAUCUAGUCUUUCCUCUUAGCUAAAUCCCAUUUCUUUCUGAGAA